CCCGCUGAACUUAAGCAUAUCAAUAAGCGGAGGAGAAGAAACCAACCGGGAUUGCCCCAGUAACGGCGAGUGAAGCGGCAACAGCUCAAAUUUGAAAUCCGGCCCCCCGGGGCCCGAGUUGUAAUUUGCAGAGGAUGCUUCGGGUGCGGCGCCGGUCUAAGUUCCUUGGAACGGGACGUCGCAGAGGGUGAGAAUCCCGUAUGUGACCGGCAGCCCGGCCCAGGUGAAGCUCCUUCGACGAGUCGAGUUGUUUGGGAAUGCAGCUCCAAAUGGGUGGUAAAUUCCAUCUAAAGCUAAACU
rnacentral:ncRNA from 1 species